rnacentral:misc_RNA from 1 species
AAGUCGUAACAAGGUCUCCGUAGGUGAACCUGCGGGGGAUCGGAUUACCGAUGAUCGAGGUGCCCGGGUCCCGGCCGACCUCCCCAACCCUUUGUUUGACCAACACCUCAGUUGCCUCGGGGUGACCCGGCCCUCUCGGUCCGGGGCCCCCGUGGACCACACAUCAACGCUGCAUCUCUGCGUCGGAGUCAUUGAAGCGAAUUCAAUCAAAA